UACGUAGGGGGCAAGCGUUAUCCGGAAUUAUUGGGCGUAAAGAGCUCGUAGGCGGUUUGUCGCGUCUGCCGUGAAAGUCCGGGGCUCAACUCCGGAUCUGCGGUGGGUACGGGCAGACUAGAGUGAUGUAGGGGAGACUGGAAUUCCUGGUGUAGCGGUGAAAUGCGCAGAUAUCAGGAGGAACACCGGUGGCGAAGGCGGGUCUCUGGGCAGUAACUGACGCUGAGGAGCGAAAGCGUGGGGAGCGAACAGG
rnacentral:rRNA from 1 species